UACAGAGGGUGCAAACGUUGCUCGGAAUCAUUGGGCGUAAAGAGCGUGUAGGCGGUCCGGUAAGUCCGCUGUGAAAGUCGGGGGCUCAACCCUCGAAUGCCGGUGGAUACUGUCGGGCUAGAGUGCGGAAGAGGCGAGUGGAAUUCCUGGUGUAGCGGUGAAAUGCGCAGAUAUCAGGAGGAACACCUAUUGCGAAGGCAGCUCGCUGGGACGUAACUGACGCUGAGACGCGAAAGCGUGGGGAGCAAACAGG
rnacentral:rRNA from 1 species